GCGAAACAUCUGCACAUGCGGGAGCACCGUGACAUAAGGGAUCCCAAGUGCUCAUGCAUUGCAUGGGCUGUUCUUUGGUUUAAGUAACCAGAGGAGUAAGGGCUGGGCAAGACCGGUGCCAGCCGCCGCGGUAAUACCGGCAGCUCAAGUGGUAGCCGCGAUUAUUGGGCAUAAAACGUUUGUAGCCGGAUAAGUAUGUCUUGGGAAAUAUCAUGGGACUCAACUCUGGGAAUUCUAGAGAUACUGCUUGUCUUGAGACCGGGAGAGGUAGGAGGUACUCCUAGGGUAGGGGUGAAAUCCUGUAUUCCUAGGGGGACCACCUGUGGCGAAGGCGUCCAACUGGAACGGGUCUGACGGUGAGGGACGAAACCUAGGGGAGCGAGCCGGAUUAGAUACCCGGGUAUCCCUAGGCGUAAAUGAUGCGAGUUAAGUGUGGGGGCAUCCACGAGAUGGCGAGGUGCUGUAGGGUAACCGUUAAACUUGCUGCCUGGGAAGUACGGUCGCAAGGCUGAAACUUAAAGGAAUUGGCGGGGGAGCACCACAAGAGGUGGAGGCUGCGGUUCAAUUGGACUCAACGCCGGAAAACUC
rnacentral:rRNA from 1 species